GUGCUCGCCUUGGCAGCACAUAUACUAAAAUUGGAAUGAUACAGAGAAGAUUAGCAUAGCCCCUGCACAAGGAUGACACACAAAUUCGUGAAAUGUUCCAUAUUUUG
ensembl:snRNA U6 U6 spliceosomal RNA